rnacentral:rRNA from 1 species
AACGAACGCUGGCGGCGUGGAUAAGACAUGCAAGUCGAGCGCUGGCUGCAGGGUAGCAAUAUUCUGCAGUUGGAGCGGCGCAAGGGUGCGUAACACGUGGGCAAUCUACCAUGAAGUUUGGGAUAACUUGCUGAAAGGCAAGCUAAUACCGGAUGUGAAACCUGGGAGGCAUCUCCCGGUUUUUAAAGUUGGGGACCGAAAGGCCUGACGCUUCUUGAUGAGCCCGCGGCCUAUCAUCGGUAGUUGGCGGGGUAACGGCCCACCAAGCCUUAGACGGGUAGCUGGUCUGAGAGGACGACCAGCCACACUGGAACUGAGACACGGUCCAGACACCUACGGGAGGCAG